GUGGGGGCAGGGGAAGGGCCACUAAGGCAGUGGGGCCAUCUUUCCAGAGCCAGCCAUUGGCCUCUUCUGCCCAAAGGGCAGGUACCAGGAGAGAGUGGGGCCUCAGGGACAGCUAAGAAAAUAGGGAGCAGCAGCAUCUGCAUCCCAGGCCCUGCACUUUCCCUGUUCCUGCUCCUGCUGCUGCCACCUCCAUUGCUGAGCACAGGGAGCUUCCUGCACCACCUCCCAGGCUGAAGAAACUCCCACCAGGGCACCAGGUACUACAGGAGCAAGACAGAGAAGGUGAAAACCUGCGAGGGUGCCUUUGAUCUCUACUUUAUCCUGAACACGUCAGAGAGUGUGAACAACAAUUGGAUGAUGCAGUGAAGAAGUUUCCAAACUUGAAAAUGCGGAUGCCCUUCACUACCUACUCCACACAGGGCCACACCCUUAUGGAGCUCACCUCAGACAGGCAAUAGUGCUGCCAGUCUGAUAUUGCUCUGAACACAGGACCACUGACGCAAAAGGCAUUUGAGGAGGGGCGCCUGGGUGGCUCAGCGGGUUAAGGCCUCUGCCUUCGGCCCAGGUCAUGAUCCCAGGGUCCUGGGAUUGAGCCCUGCGUUGGGCUCUUUGCUCAGUGCAGAGCCUGCUUCU